rnacentral:rRNA from 1 species
CACGUAGGGUGCGAGCGUUGUCCGGAAUUAUUGGGCGGAAAGAGCUCGUAGGCGGUGUGUCGCGUCGGCCGUGAAAACCUGCAGCUUAACUGUGGGCUUGCGGUCGAUACGGACAUCACUGGAGUUCGGCAGGGGAGACUGGAAUUCCUGGUGUAGCGGUGAAAUGCGCAGAUAUCAGGAGGAGCACCGGUGGCGAAGGCGGGUCUCUGGGCCGAUACUGACGCUGAGGAGCGAAAGCGUGGGGAGCGAACAGG